rnacentral:lncRNA from 1 species
GGGAGGUGAGGGGCGCCUCUGCCCAGCCGCCCCUACUGGGAAGUGAGGAGCCCCUGUGCCCGGCCGCCACCCCGUCUGGGAGGUGUACCCAACAGCUCAUUGAGAACGGGCCAUGAUGACAAUGGCGGUUUUGUGGAAUAGAAAGGGGGGAACGGUGGGGAAAAGAUUGAGAAAUCGGAUGGUUGCCGUGUCUGUGUAGAAAGAAGUAGACAUGGGAAACUUUUCAUUUUGUUCUGUACUAAGAAAAAUUCUUCGGCCUUGGGAUCCUGUUGAUCUGUGACUUUACCCCCAACCCUGUGCUCUCUGAAACAUGUGCUGUGUCCACUCAGGGUUAAAUGGAUUAAGGGUGGUGCAAGAUGUGCUUUGUUAAACAGACGCUUGAAGGCAGCGUGCUCGUUGAGAGUCAUCACCACUCCCUAAUCUCAAGUACCCAGGGACACAAACACUGCGGAAGGCCGCAGGGUCCUCUGCCUAGGAAAACCAGAGACCUUUGUUCACUUGUUUAUCUGCUGACCUUCCCUCCACUAUUGUCCUAUGACCCUGCCAAAUCCCCCUCUGUGAGAAACACCCAAGAAUGAUCAAUUAAAAAAAAAAAAAGAAAAAAAAAUUAGAUCUCAAACUUAUACUAUAUCCUAGUGAAAAACUUCCAAAUGGAUAAGAGAUCGAAAUGCAAAAAACAUGAAACAAUCUAAAUUCUAACACAAAACAUUGGUGAAUUCCUUUAUGACCUGGAAAGGGUCAUAUGACCUUGGUUUCUAAUUAUGACUCAAAAACAAUAAAGUUCAACAACAGAUUUUGUUGGUGAGGCUGUGGAGGAAACAAGCACUUUCACAUACUACUAAUGGAAAUGCAAAAUGGCACAAUCACAAUGAAGCUGAAUUUGGCAAAACCUAACAAAAUUAAAGAUACAUUUACCCUAUGACAUGGCAAAUCCAUUGUUAAGAUCUCCCCCAAAGACACACUUCAACAAAUAUAAAACAACAUAUGCACAAGGUUAUUCAGUGGCAUUAUUUGUAAUUACAAAAGACUGGAAACAACCCAAACAUCUAUCCUUAAAGGAACUAAUGAACAGUAGAGCACCCAUACAGUGAAGUACUAGACAGUGGUUGAAGAAAAAUAUGAAUAUUUCUCUGUACUAUUAUGUAGUGAAAUUCAAGAUAUUAUUGUUGAAAAAAGCAAGGUAUGGAACACUAUAGUUUAUUACUUUCUAUGGAAUAAAGGAUAGAAAAUUUAAAAUAUAUUUGAAUAAGUAUAUAAAUAAGUAAAGACAUAUUUAUAUGCUUAUGCACUUUGUACAUAUAAGACUGUUUAUAUACUUAUUUACAUAUAUAAAUAUAUCUAUUCAUUUACUUACUUUUAUAUAUAGAUAUAGAUAUAUAUGUUUACAAGAAACACUGGAAAUGAUAAACCAGAAAUGAAUAAAAAUGGAUCUCUAUAAAGGUUGGGAAAAAUGGAGUGGAUGGAACAGGGAUGAAAGGCAGACUUCCCUGAGUAUAACUUUUAACAUAGUUUUGACAAGUUAAAUGUUCUACAUAUUUAAAAUAUUAAAUUAGAUCAAAAUUUUAAAAAGGUAAAUCCUAAAAUUGAAAACAAACUGAAACAAAUGAACUUAACUAAAUAUCCAAUUAGUAAAAUAACCAUAAAUGAAAAGAAUUCCUUCACAAUGACUCCUGAAUAAAGGACUUUGUAUCUAUCCCUCUUAGUGAUAGAUACAGUCUAAUAAUAAAAAGAAUUGCAAAGAAAUCUUAAUUUUUACUUGCAAGCUUUAUGGUUAGUAGUAAUAUUACUAUUUGAAUUUUGGAAACAUAAAUUUGACAUCUUUUUCUUUUUUUGAGAUGGAGUCUUGUUCUGUCACCAGGCUAGAGUGCAAUGGCGCGAUCUCAGCUCACUGCAACCUCCACCUCCUGGGUUCAAGUGACUCCCCUGCCUCAGCCUCCUGAGUAGCUGGAACUACAGGCAUGCGCCACCAUGCCCGGCUAAUUUUUUGUAUUUUUUUAGUAGAGAAGGGGUUUCACCAUGUUGGCCAGGAUGGUCUCAAUCUCCUGACCAUGUGAUCUGCCCGCCUCGGCCUCCCAAAGUGCCGGGAUUAUAGGUGUGAGCCACUGCACCCGGCCAAAUUUGAUAUCUUAAAAAAUAUAUUGCUGGAUACAGCAAACAAGUAAAUAUGUUACUGGUUUUCUUUCUUUUUUUUUUUUUUUGAGACAGAGACUCGCUCUGUUGCCAGGCCAGAGUGCAGUGACUUGAUCUCGGCUCACUGCAACUUCUGUCUCCCUGGUUCAAGCGAUUCUCCUGCCUCAGCCUCCCGAAUAGCCGGGAUUACAGGUGCGUGCCACUAUGCCCAGCUAAUUUUUGCAUUUUUAGUAGAGAUAGGGUUUCACCAUGUUGGCCAGGAUGGUCUCGAUCUUUUGACCUCAUGAUCCACCCACCUCGGCCUCCCAAAGUGCUGGGAUUACAGGCGUAAGCCACCGUGCCCGGCCUUAUGUUACUGUUUUUAAGGACCCAGAUUUUCAGUGUUAAGAGAAGAGAUAAAAAUACAGAAACAAAUAAAAAAUUCUAUCAUGUUAAACUUGAAUUAGAUACUUUUAUAGUUCAUAAGUCUGAUGAUUGGGUGUCAUGCUCAUGUGUGAGACAUGCCUCCCUUAAGCCUUGUUAUGACGUCAGCAUAUUACCUGUCUAGAUAUAUUUUUUAAACACAUGAAUUAGAAAUAUAAAUACAUCAAUAUCUAUCUAUCUAUCUAUCUAUCUAUCUAUCUAUCUAAUCUAUCUAUCUAUCUCACAUUCUAGCUACAUCACUGAAAGAGCCUAGAAACACUGACACCCAGGAGCAAUGAACAGAUUUAGAGCUGAGAUCUCAGUUUCUAAAUGCCAUUUCCUACAAAAAGAACUGUGGCUACCUGGAGAAAUGAUUGACUUCCAAGUGUGGGGCACUAAAGGAGAAAGGGUAUCCUGGGAUAUCUUCCUGUGCCAGAAAGCCAGGAUACACUCAAAGUCUAAUUAACGGGGACAUAUCAAAAGGGCACAGGCCAGCUUGAAGUUUCACUAAAAUGACAGAUAAGACCCAAAUUUAAAAUUAUCUUGUCAAGCUGGAAUGCUCAACCAAACCAAUAUGAUGAAAAUUAACAGGGAUGACUGUGAAAUACUGGAUUUAGAAUUAAAAUCAGCUUUAUAGGUACAGGAUAGGAUUCAACCUGCCUGACAGCAGAUCAUGUGAAAAAAAAUCACAGAUAUUUUAAAGUUGAAUAUGAAACUAAAGUGAGAUGAGAUUACUUAAAAAACUAACCCAAUAUUACAAGCAGCACUGGAGAUAUUUAGGAUCGAGAUCAUGUGGGGUAGAAAUCUUAUACUCUACCAAAUAAGGCCUACUGAUAUUCAGUUUUAGGCACUAUAUAUUAAGAGAACUAUUCUUGACAUAAUAGCUCUCCCUCCUCCUCAUAGCAAUUUCUACUUUUUAAACACUUCCCAUAUGCCACGCACUAUAUUAGAUGCUUUUACAAUGUGUUGUCCAAUUACUCUACUGAGGUGGGUUCAAUUAUAAUCCUCAUUUUACAAGAAAAUGGAGGCUUGAAGAGAUUAAGUAAUUAUCUAUGUUAGACAGCUAACAAAGGUAACCUGUAUCUUAAAGUUGCCUGAUUCCAAAGUCUAUGGCCAGAAUGGUAAAAAGUCUGGAAAAAGGAAAAAAUCACCCAUAAAAACACCCCAUUAAAGAAAGUAAGAGGUUUUGAGCAUGGAAGAAGAAAAGAUUAUGGAAAAACUUGGAGGUAUUUUCAAAUAUUUUAAAAAGAUGACAGCUCUACUCUUUAACAACAAGCGAACUUCCUUGGGAGGUGAAGCACCUGUCAGGGCUAUUGUAGAUAUGACUUUGGCAUUGGGAGUGGAAGUUCUCCAUGGAUUCUACCUUGACAUCUGCUGCAACUCCAGUUCAGCAUGCUAUAGGCGAAAUUUCUGUGACGCUACUGAUCUCCUGCCAUACCUCUCACUUAAGCCUCAAGGGCUACAACUCUUCACUAAGCCCACACAACAUAGCUUUCUGUAACAAUAUUCCUUCUGUUCCACUGAUUCCAAAGCCAUUCCUAUUAGCAAAGGAUAGGAAAAACUAGACUAGGGAGAGGAUACGGCUGUCAAACAGAGCAGAAAGAUGCAAUCCAGGCUUCAGGUCAAGGAGAGCAGAGAUGCAGUCAGGGCCUCUGGUUAAAGAGAGGCAGCUGCAAUUAAGGCCCCAGUUGAAGAGACAGACUUGAGCAUAACAAGCAGCUAUUCUAAUUGUCAAAUAGAGCAGGCAACCAGGAUUAAGCUUAACACAUCAGAGGGAAAGGCUUCUGGCAGAAAUGAAAUGAUAAAAACCUAGCACUGAAAGAAAGACUCCGCUUUGAGAAUAUGUAGAAGCCAAGACAGAAUUCUGCAAUUAGUAAUGACCCUGAACCAAGAAGCAGGUAUUUCCAGCCCAGAUGGUGUGAAAGAGGAGCGGCAACAAGGGACACAUAUCGGCAAAUCUGGCCAGGCCCAAUACAAUUUUCCUAACAACACUGGUCAAGGGAAAGGACCCUGCAUGCCAGCAUCAGGCGCAUUCUGUGUCCUUAAAAGAAAGAGAGUGGCACACCACUAAAAUUCCAAUUUCCAACCUAAACAUCCAUUAACAGAAGACAGAAUGCAUACGUUAUAGUGCACUGCAACAAAAAAAUACUGAAGCAUUGGUUAAAAAAAAUUAAUUACCCAGUUGUACAGCCAGACCUUAUAUAUCUUUUAAAAGCAUGAUUUGCACUUACUUAAAAAAAAAAAAAAAACAACGAAAAAGUACCAGUUCAAUCCAUGAGUUUAUACUGACAGUGACAGGAUCAAUGGAUUCUACGUAAUGCCACCAGUGUCUGGGAACAAAGAGAACCUGAAAACCAAACAAAGAAUGGUUAGCACAAGAACAGGACGUUUCAUUUUUAUGUCAGAAUCAGACCCUAAUUGAGGCUGCUAGGAAAAAAAGGAAUACAAAUGAAUUCACAAUAAUAUUGCUGGAGAAAAGUAAAGUAAGAAAAAAAACCCCGCAAACCUUUUUUCCUUUUAUUCCUUUUUUAUUGACAAGUUCACAUGUUCUACAAAGGAUACUGCCAGCAUCUCUAUUCUCUUUAAUCCUGGGCCUUCUUUGUCUGCACCUAAAUCUUAGUACAUGAUUCUGA